CCUGGCACAUUUAACACCGUGUUGUGAAAGCUAUGGUUUAUUUGUUUUCGCUGUUUUGGUUUCGUUUCUAUUACGUUUGUGGAUAUUGUCUUCGAUUACUUUCAUGAUGGUGAAGAUUAUUGUUGAUACAUUUGAUUUCGGGUGGAUUGGUACAAAUUCGAUUAAUUCGUUUGCGGUCUUCAUUUAUAAUUUUCGUUGGUUGGUUGGUUGAUAAUUGUGCUUAUUUCUUACUCAAGUUUGCGAUACGAAUUGGAUUUUGGUUUGCGAUCUUUGUUCAGAUCAAAUAAUCGCUGUUUGAUCAUGAUGCUGUUUCUGGUUCGUUUGCGAUAAAUUGGGCUUUUGCUUUGCGAUCUUGGUCUGCUUUCUUUCAGUAUUGAUAUUCCAUUCGAAAUUUCCUAAUAAUCAAAUACAAGAUUUUCCGGUUUUUUUAUUAUAUAUGUGAGGGAUUUUUCUUCUUUGGAUUUGACAGUGGUGAUUGUCGGAUUAUUAAAGCUGGUCUGUUUAAGUUGAACGGUGUCAGAUUCGUUGUGAAUGCAAUUUUCAUUCUUGACCUAGUUAUGCUUUCGUUGGUCUGUGAGUAAUAAGGGUAUAUUCCAGGAAUUCAGCACAUGAUAUUGGUAUGACAAAAUACUUAAAUUUGGACUCUUUUAUUUGUCUGCUGUUCACAUCUCUAUAUCAAAUGCCGGCAUAAAAAUAGUCUUGAACUGUUUGCAGAUGGAUUCAUCAAGAAGAGAACUAUUUAUUGAUCUCUUAUACUAAAGCUGUUUUCAAACCUUAUCAUAAUAAGUUGCAAAUUUUUGAUUUGGUAUGGCGGAGAAAAAUGAAACUGAAAUAAUUGAAGUUUUCCUAUUUGGAAUUGUCUUAGGGCUAAUUUUUAUUCGUAACCGCAUAUUUACAAUACAGACGUGGUGAUCAAUUGGACCUUUGAUUAAUUAACAUCUCUUUGUGUUGAUUGACCUCCUAUUCUGCAGGUCUGUUUUCUUUUUUUCUUUUUUCAUUUUUUUUUUUUUUUUGGGUAACUGGUUAGUUUGAUGAUUCGAAUAGAAGUUGUUCUAGGCAUUGGAAUCCAAUAUUAGUCUCUGGAUUGGUCUGACCGUUUGCAAAACCAGUGUGACACAUAUUAUCUUUUCUUUUCGUUUUUUCAAUUAUUAUUAUUAGUAUUAUUAUUAUUAUAUUUUUUUACACUUUGAAUCUUUUAUUACGUUAGUUUGAACACGAAUACAAAGCUUUUGUGUGGUUGGGUCGGCUGUUGCAGCUUUUUUUUUUUUUUUUUUUUUUUUUCUAUUUUUUUGAGUAAGUUUAUACUUUGAAAAUAUCUUGUACCGUGGUAUUUUAAUUAAUUUGUUGAAAACGGUCCAUUCAAGUGCUUUUAAUGGAGUCAGGUGCCUUUUAAUGGAGAAUUUGGUAUUCUUGAGCAUGUUUGCCUUCUGGUUUCUUAUUAUGAAUAUGCAUGACAUCUAAUAUUAUCUUUAAAAGUUAGACUUGGUGAUAUUUGAUUCCGUGAUCACAGGGCUGCGGAGAUUGUUUUGUCUAUCAGAUUUUUAUUUUGAGCAGUUUUGCAAUCAUUUUCCAUUUUACCUUUAAGGGAGAUUCUAAAUUUCCAUUUUUUGGUGGUUGGGAUUUUACCUUUCUUAGAGUUUGGAGGGUGUGUCGAUUUUGCGAAAAGCUGCUAGAUGUCUCUUGCAAUGAAAGUUGACUAUGCUUCUGCUUGAAUUUUCUUAUUGUUUUUCUAAAUUUUAUAAGCUAACAUUGUUUGGUGAUGCUCUGCAGAUUUGUGGUCCAUAGUUUUAUUGAAGUUUUAGGUUUGGGUAUAUUUUGGUAUUAAGCUUCUCUUUACCCUUCAAACCAAUAGCAUUAUGUUAUCGUUUUCUUAUUCUUGAAACUCUUUUGUCUAAGAUUUUCACUUCCUGAAGACGUCCUUUUUCAUUAUGAAUAAGAAGUAAUUUUUUACUAAUGGUUAAGUUGAUUUCUUGUUCAGGAUUCUUCUUUUAUCCAUGUUUUAUGAACUGGCCCUCCUCCUAUAUAUAAAAUAAAAGAGCAGAAGAAAAAUAGCAAACCCUCUUUCAUUUGUAAAUAUGUAUGCAUGGUUGUGUGCAUUUUACUUAUUGUUUUUGAACAAUUUCUUUCAGGUCACUUUUGUCCAUUGUAGAGUUUGGUGCUUCCUUAUAUGAGAUAAGUUUGGCCUAUAUCAUGUGUUUCUAGUGGCCAAUUGUUUCAUUUAUGUUCUCUUUUUUAGUAGAUAUUAUGGAUAUCAUUUUAUAUUCCGUUAUUUUAUUAUUAUUAUUAUUAUUAUUUUUUUUUUUGGGGUUUAUAUUUAUCAACAUUGAUGGUAGAUUUUGAUUUUCAGGUCUUGUUUUCGAGUUUUUUAUGAUGUUGGAGCAUAUGAUGCAACUCAAUUAUUGUUUCUCUGUCUUGCUUUAACUUUUUAGGUUUUGAUUUUAACAAAUUACAAUAAUAUGCUAUACCGACAAUAAUAUUUUCUUGUACUGUAUUUUUCUUUUUAGAUAGUAUGGUAGCUUUGUUCUGCCUCUGCCUGUGGCCAUACCAACUAUAUUCAUGGAGAGUGUGUCUUCUUGUUAAAGUGGAGAUUGCUAGAGGACAUUUGUCAACAAGGUUAAUUUAUUCAGCCUUGAUUUAUGUGGCUAUUUGUUGAAGUUCUUUAUCUACAAGCAAUAUUUUAAUUACAAAAGUGUUAAUCUUUCCAUGGUUAAAAGUAUUGGAAAUAAAGAUGAGUUCGAGAGGUUUAUGUUCCACUUAGGUACCGUAGUUUCAAUUAGAGUUGCAGUUUGGGAAAUUGGACUAGAUGCUGAAAGGGCUUUUAUUUUGGUGGUUUGUUUUUCUCAUCAAUACUUCUUCAUUCUGCAGUUCCAGUAAUUGGAAAGCUUCAGGAUUUCAUAAUGAUUUGUGCAGUUUCAGAUGAAAUUUUGUUAUUUCUUCCUUCAAUGUGUUGAAAAUUGUUUGGUAGAUUGGAAUCCUUGUGAAGAUAUUAAAAAAAAAAAAAGGCUCCUUUCAUUUCCUUUCCUACACAUGAAGUGUAAAACAUAGCUUUUCCUUUUUUCUUUUUACAUUUGUUAUCUUUAUUUACUGUUCUCUUCUUGAUUUGAUGAUCUACUCAAGUUGCAGCUACUUUUGAUCAAAUUUAAUUUGGAUUUUCUCUGUACAGAGUGGAAUGAUUUCACUCCAUGCGAGUUAGUAGUGGAUUUGGGUAUCUUUCUUCAUGCUGUUUGUACUAUGGAUAUGUGAUAUGUGUUAAUACUUCUUUUACCUCAAUGCAGUUUUCUGGAGAUGGUACGUGAUAUUUUGAAUAUUGAAUGGACGUAUAUAAUGGUUGCUGAGAUGCAUCAAUUUGGUUGUUUUAUUAUUGGGGCUAGUUCUAUCAGUUUUGGAGAGAGUAUGUGAUGCAUUCAAAGUCAGUAUCAGUUCUGUAUGUGGAGUAUUCUUUGUGGACUAAUGCUAUUAUAUUGUUAUUUGUAAUUGCUUAUGGUAUUGUGACAUAGGUUACAUUGUUGACUGAAAAGGUAUCCUGGUGGAGAAGUUUGACUUGUACGAUGGGGAAUCUAUUGGAUCUUUUUAAUCAUGUUUGCUAUUUAUUGAAGGUUCACUAGAGUGUUGGAAACAGAGUAUGUUUGUUGUUUCAAGUUUUACAUCUUGGAAUUCUUAGUCUGCUUAAAUGUCUUCCACUUAGAAGUGUUUUUAAAUGUUUGCAAGUGGCAGUAACUUGUCCCUGAUGACCCUUUCUUGAUGAUGAUGGUGAUAUUCCAGUGGUGUUGCUUGAUAUGUGGUAAAACAUUUUUGAUCUUGCUUUGCGUAUAACUAUGAAUUUGAUGAGUGGACUUGAAUGCAAGUAAUUAAAAAGGUUCUUGGUUCUCUGUGUUUGAGAGAAUUUUUUUUUGCAGGUGUAAUUAUCGAAGUGUGAAGUAUCUUUGCGGUUUGGUUCUCUUGGUUUCUUUUAAUUUGUUGAUGCAUUUAGACUGAUAUCUAUUGUAAAAUUCAAGCUGUUAGUAAUAUGAUGGUCUGCCAUUGUAUUUUAUAUCACUGAAAGCAACCUGGUAUUUAAAAAAAAAUUUCUUAAAUUUUUGCAAUGGCUUGCCAACAAUUGCACCUUGUUUUGGGAUAGGAGUAACCUAUCUAAUUUCACAGUGGCGAUAUUGAAAUGGUCUUAAUUUAUUUAUGGUAAUCCUUUCCCUCUUGAAUUUUCUGACUUAAUGUCUGGUUAUUAUAAAUUAUAAGUUAUGUUUGUAUUAUAGGUUGGUAUUCGUUGAACUUGGAGGAUGCUCGUAGAAAAAGUUUUAAAUCAUAUUUUAAUAAUAUAAAUUUUGGUUUCCUCUAAAUUUUAUCCUAUGAAUGCUUGUGUACUGCAGUGACAUCCAUUUCCAGUUGCAAUUUUAGGGGUUGGAUUUACUUUUUUGCGCUGAUUUACAGAGGAGAUAUGUUGUAAAAUACAUUGUGACGCGGACAUUGGUCGAACAAAGAUUUUGGUAUCAGUUGAUGUAGUUCAUGGUUCUGUGCUCCACUCUAUGUGCUCAAAUCCUAAAUUCUUGUGACUAUUCUGUAAUUUGUAAUGUUAUCAGUUGAAAGUGAGGUUCAUGGUUUAGCGUAAGUGCCUGUUUCGACUUUUAAGUUUUGCUGAUCGAUUUUCAACAAUUCAACUUAAGUAUCAAUUGUAAUGAUUUUUGUCUCAGAUCUACCCUGCCUCGAGUUAGUAAUUAUAUUUUUAAUUGGAUAAGUUCAUAUUUAUUUCCGUCAACUUCAAUUUGUUUAAAGUAUGCGUAUGUCGAGCAUCUUCCCCGGUUGCAUUGUGUUUUGAGUGGGGUUUGUUUUGCCUCAACAGUUAUGGGAUGAAGAUAUGUAGAAGAUUGCAAUGGUGGAUUGGAUGUUCAUCAAGAUGGCCUUGGAUACAUAUUAUUCAUUGAUCUAUAAUGGGGGAUAUGUUGGUACGAAAUGUGAUAGUACAAUGGUGUUGCAGCUUAACUAUUAAUGUAUUUCCAGAUGUGUCAUUUUUUCAGGUGAUACGGCUGAUUUGAGGGGGUAAUUAAGUAAAGUUUGUUGAUGGUAGCUUGUAUAGUUUCCCCAUGUGUGAAGGGCGUUUUAUUGUCGAUGCUCCACUAUCAUUAAAGGAAGAUAGAUGAAAUUGGUGGAUGCUAAUAAAAGGAACGCUCAGAUUUUUGUUAGCUAUGAUCUUUAGUUUCUUUGAAGUUCUCAUUGGUAAAGUUUCAUCUGUCUUUCUAGUAGAGUUCUAUAUCUGUUUUGCAGUGAUGUCCUCAUCGGUUGCAAUGCAAUUUUGAGUUGUUCUUGUAUUCCCUUGAGGUAGUUGUAGGAGAAGAUUUGUGGUACUUUCCUGUGCAGCAGGAUGAAUGUUCAACAUGAUUGGCUGAGCCCGCAUGAUGUUCAGUGACAAAAUGCUUUUGGUGAUAGGAUGAUUUUCAUGGGUUCCCCAUGUGUGAAGGGUGUUUGAUUGUCCGUGCUCCACAAUCAUUGAAGCAUGAUAAGAGGAAAUUGGUGGAUGCUAAUAAUGGCAGGCUUGGAUUAUUGUUAGCUAUGCUUUUCGUUUCCUUGAAGUUCUCAUUAAUAAAGUUUUGUCUUGCUAGUAAAGUUCUACCUAUUUUCAGGUGAUAAGGAUGAUUUUCAGGUGGUAAUUAAGUAAAUUUUGUUGAUGGUAGCUUGUAUAGUGUGUUUAGUAUUUGUUGACCUGGCUUAAUUGUAUAAGCUUUGUCAACAGUUUUAGUUCCUUGAAUUUGAGAAAGUUGUUACUUGACUGCAGUUCCCCAUGUGUGAAGGGCGUUUUAUUAUCGGUGCUAAGUUCUCAUUAGUAAAGUUUCAUCUGUCUUUCUAGUAGAGUUCUAUAUCUGUUUUGCAGUGAUUUCCUCAUCAGUUGCAAUGCAAUUUUGAGUUGUUCGUGUUUCCUUUCUGGUGAUAAGGAUGAUUUUCAGGGUUCCCCAUGUGCGAAGGGCGUUUGAGUGUGAGUGCUCCACUAUCAUUGAAGCAAGAUAGAGGAAAUUGGUGGAUGCUAAUAAGGCAGGCUUGGAUUAUUGUCAGCUAUGAUUUUUCGUUUCCUUGAAGUUGUCAUUAAUAAAGUUUUAUGUCUUGCUAGUAAAGUUCUAUCAAUUUUGCAGUGAUGUCCUUAUCAGUUGCAAUGUCAUUUGAGUUCGUCUUGUAUUGUAUUGAGGUAGUUGUAGUAGAAGAUAUGUGGUACUUUCCUUUGCAGCAGGGCGAAUGCUCAACAUGAGUGGCUGAGUUGCAUGAUGUUCAAUGGCAAAAUGACCUUCGGUGAUAAGGACGAUUUUGGGGAGUGCUCUGCUAUCAUUGAGGCAAGGUAGAAGAAAUUGGUGGAUGCUAAUAAAGGCAGGCUUGGAUUUUUGUCAGCUAUGAUUUUUAGUUUACUGGAAGUUCUCAUUGUUCUCCAUGUGUGAUGGGCAUUUGAUUGUCAGUGCUCCACUAUCAUUGAAGCAAGACAGAGGAUAUUGGUGGAUGCUAAUAAAGGCAGGCUAGGAUUGUUGUGAGCUAUGACUUUUAGUUUCUAUGAAGUUCUCAUUGGUAAAGUUUUGUCUUUCUUGCUAGUAAAGUUAUGUCUGUUUUGUGGUGAUGUCCUUAUCACUUGUAGAGUUUGUCGGUAACUUGUGGAGUUUGUUUAGUGAUUGUUGACUUGGCUUAAUUGUGUAAGCUUUAUCAACAAUUUUAGUUCCCCGAAUUUGAGAAAGUUGUUGCUUGAGUGCAAUUCCCCAUGUGUGAUGGGAAUUUGAUUGUCAGUGCUCCACUAUCAUUGAAGCAAGAUAGAGGAUAUUGGUUGAUGCUAAUAAAUGCAGGCUUGGAUUAUUGUCAGCUAUGAUUUUUUGUUUCCUUGAAGUUUUCAUUAAUAAAGUUUUAUGGCUUGCUAGUAAAGUUCUAUCUGUUUUGCAGUGAUGUCCUUAUCAGUCGCAAUGUCAUUUGAGUUGGUCUUGUAUUGUCUUGAGGUAGUUGGAGGAGAAGAUAUGUGGUACUUUCCUUUGCAGCAGGGUGAAUGCUCAACAUGAUUGGCCGAGUUGCAGGAUGCUUAAUGACAAAAUGACCUUCGGUGAUAGGGGGGUUAGUUAAGUACAUUUAGUUGUUGGUAACUUUUAGAGUUUGUUUAGUACUUGUUAACUUGGCUUAAUUGUAUAAGCCUUGUUUACCUGAAUUUGAUAAAGUUGUUGCUUGAUGGAAUUCCGCAUGCUUGAAGGGUGUCUGAUUGUCAGUGCUCCAUAUCAUUGAAGCAAGGUGGUGGAUGCUAAUAAAAGCAGGCUUGGAUUUUUGUCAGCUAUGAUUUUUAGUUUCCUUGAAGUUCUCAUUAGUAAAGUUUUAUCUGUCUUGCUAGUAAAGAUCUAUCUGUUUCACGCUGAUGUCCUGGUGGAGUUCGUUGGUAACGUAGAGUUUGUUUAGUACUUGUUGACUUGGCUUUAAUGUAUAAGCUAUAUCAACAAUUUUAGUUCCCUGAAUUUGAGAAAGUUGUUGCUUGAGUGCAGUUCCCCAUGUGUGAAGGGCAUUUGAUGGUCAGUGCUCCACCAUCAUUGAAGCAUGAUAGAGGAAAUUGGUGGAUGCUAAUAAAGGGAGGCUUGGUUUAUUGUCAGCUAUGAAUUUUCGUUUUGUUGAAGUUCUCAUUAGUAAAGUUUGAUCUGUCUUUGCUAGUAAAGUUCUACCUAUUUUGCAGUGAUUGUCUUGGGGUAGAAGAUAUGUUGUACUUUCCUAUGCAGCAGGGUGAAUGCUCAACAUGAUUGGCUGGUUGUGUAAUGUUGAAUGGCAAAGUGACUUUCUGGUGAUGAGGAUGUUUUUCAGGUGUAAUUAAGUAAAUUUUAUUGUUGGCGACUUGUAGAGCUUGUUUAGUAUUUGUUGGCUUGGCUUAAUUGUAGUUCCCUGAAUUUGAAAAGUUGUUGCUUGAGUGCAGAUCCCCAUGUGUGAAGGGCAUUUGAUUGUCAGUGCUCCACUAUCAUUGAAGCAAGGUAGAAUUUGGUGGAUGCGAAAGGCAGGCUUGGAUUUUUGUCAGCUAUGAUUUUUAGUUUCCUUGAAGUUCUCAUUAGUAAAGUUAUAUCUGUCUUGCUAGUAAAGAUCUAUCUGUUUUGCGGUGAUGUUCUUAUCACAUGUAGAGUUCGUUGGUAACGUAGAGUUUGUUUAGUACUUGUUGACUUGGCUUUAUUGUAUAAGCUUUAUCAACAAUUUUAGUUCCCUGAAUUUGAAGUUGUUGCUUGAGUGCAGUUCCCCAUGUGUGAAGGGCACUUGAUUCCCAUCAUUGAAGCAUGAUAGAGGAAAUUGGUGGAUGCUAAUAAAGGGAGGCUUGGUUAAUUGUCAGCUAUUAAUUUUCGUUUCCUUGGAAGUUCUCAUUAGUAAAGUUUGAUCUUUGCUAGUAAAGUUCUACCUAUUUUGCAGUGAUUGUCUUGAGGUAGUUGUAGGAGAAGAUAUGUGGUACUUUCCUAUGCAGCAGGGUGGAUGCUCAACGUGAUAUGUUGAAAGACAAAAUGACUUUUUGGUGAUAAGGAUGAUUUUCAGGGUUCCCCAUGUGUGAAGGGCGUUUGAUUGUCGGUGCUCCACUAUUAUUGAAGCAAGAUAGAGGAAAUUGUUGGAUGCAAACAAGGCAGGCUUGGAUUAUUGUCUGCUAUGAUUUUUCGUUUCCUUGAAGUUCUAAUUAAUAGUCUUUUUUCUUGCUAGUGAAGUUCUAUCUUUUUUGCAGUGAUGUCCUUAUCAGUUGCAAUGUCAUUUGAGUUGGUCUUGUAUUGUCUUGAGGUAGUUGUAGGAGAAGAUAUGUGGUACUUUCCUCUGCAGCAUGGUGAAUGGUCAACAGGCUGAGUUGCAUGAUGUUCAAUGACAAAAUGACCACCGGUGAUAUGGACAAUUUUUGGGGGUAAUUAAGUAAAUUUAGUUGUUGGUGACUUUUUAGAGUUUGUUUAGUAUUUGUUGACUUGGCUUAAUUGUGUAAGCUUUGUUUAACUGAAUUUGAUAAAGUUGUUGCUUGAUGCAAUUCCCCAUGCUUGAAGGGCGUCUGAUUGUCAGUGCUCCAUAUCAUUGAAGCAAGGUGGUGGAUGCUAAUAAAAGCAGGCUUGGAUUUUUGUCAGCUAUGAUUUUUAGUUUCCUUGAAGUUCUCAUUAGUAAAGUUUUCUGUCUUGCUAGUAAAGAUCUAUCUGUUUCACGCUGAUGUCCUGGUGGAGGUCUUUGGUAACGUAGAGUUUGUUUAGUACUUGUUGACUUGGCUUUAAUGUAUAAGCUAUAUCAACAAUUUUAGUUCCCUGAAUUUGAGAAAGUUGUUGCUUGAGUGCAGUUCCCCAUGUGUGAAGGGCACUUGAUUCCCAUCAUUGAAGCAUGAUAGAGGAAAUUGGUGGAUGCUAAUAAAGGGAGGCUUGGUUAAUUGUCAGCUAUUAAUUUUCGUUUCCUUGGAAGUUCUUAUUAGUAAAGUUUGAUCUUUGUUUAGUACUUGUUAACUUGGCUUAAUUGAAUAAGCCUUGUUUACCUGAAUUUGAUAAAGUUGUUGCUUGAUGGAAUUCCCCAUGCUUGAAGGGCGUCUGAUUGUCAGUGCUGAUUGUCAGUUCUCCACUAUCAUUGAAGUGAGAUAGAGAAUUGGUGGAUGCUAAUAAAGGCAGGCUAGGAUUAUUGUCAGCUAUGAUUUUUAGUUUCCUUGGAAGUUCUCAUUGUUCCCCAUGUGGGAAGGGCAUUUGAUUCUCCACCAUCAUUGAAGCAGGAUAGAGGAAAUUUGUGGAUGCUAAUAAAGGCAGGCUUGGAUUAUUGUCAGCUAUGAUUCUUCGUUUCCUUGGAAGUUUUCAUUAAUGAAGUUUUAUGGCUUGCUCGCAAAGUUCUAUCUGUUUUGCUGUGAUGUCCUUAUCAGUUGCAAUGUCAUUUGAGUUGGUCUUGUAUUGUCUUGAGGUAGUUGUAGGAGAAGAUAUGUGGUACGUUCCUUUGCAGCAGGGUGAAUGCUCAACAUGAUUGGCGGAAUUGCAUGAUGUUCAAUGACAAAAUGACCUUUGGUGAUAAGGACGAUUUUCCAGGGGUAAUUAAGUAGAUUUAGUUGGUAACUUUUAGUUUGUUUAGUAUUUGUUGACUUGGCUUAAUUGUAUAAGCUUUGUUUACCUGAAAUUGAUAAAGUUGUUGCUUGACGCAAUUCCCCAUGUUUGAAGGGCAUUUGAUUGUCAGUGCUCCGCUGUCAUUGAAGCAAGGUAGAAGAAAUUGGUGGAUGCUAAUAAAGGCAGGCUUGGAUUUUUGUCAGCUAUGAUUUGUAGUUUCCUUGAAGUUCUCAUUAGUAAAAGUUUUAUCUGUCUUGCUAGUAAAGUUCUAUCGGUUUUGUGGUGAUGUCCUUAUCACCUGUAGAGUUCCUUGGUAACGUGGAGUUUGUUUAGUACUUGUUUACUUGGCUUUAUUGUAUAAGCUUUGUCAACAAUUUUAGUUUCCUGAAUUUGAGAAAGUUGUUGCUUGAGUGCAGUUCCCCAUGUAUGAAGGGCAUUUGCUCCACCAUCAUUGAAGCAUGAUAGAGGAAAUUGGUGGAUGCUAAUAAAGGGGGGCUUGGUUUAUUGUCAGCUAUGAAUUUUCGUUUCCUUGAAGUUUUCAUUAGUAAAGUUUGAUCUGUCUUUGCUAGUAAAGUUCUGCCUAUUGUGCAGUGAUUGUCUUGAGGUAGUUGUAGGAGAAGCUAUGUGGUACUUUCCUAUGCAGCAGGGUGAAUGCUCAACAUGAUUGGCUGGUUACAGUGUUGAAUGACAAAAUGACUUUUUGCUGUCCCCCAUGUGUGAAGGGUGUUUGAUCGUCAGUGCUCCAUUAUCAUUAAAGCAAGAUGGGAGGAAAUUGGUGGAUUCUAAUAAAGGCAGGCUUGGCUUAUUUUCAGCUGUGAUUUUUGAUUCCUUGGAAGUUCUCAUUGGUGAAGUUUUGUCUGCCUUGCUAGUAAAGGUCUAUCUGUUUUGCAUUGAUUUCCUUAUUAGUUGCGAUGUAAUUUGAGUUUGUCUUGCAUUGUCUUGGGGUAGUUGUAGGAGAAGAUAUGUGGUACUUUCCUAUGCAGCAGGGCGAAUGCUCAACAUGAUUGGCUGAGUUGCAUCAUUUUUAAUGACUUAUUAUAUUAUUGGUAUCAGUUCUAUACUUCAAAUUAUUUUCGCUAUAUUUGUGCUGAUAUCUUUGAGGUCUUAUUCUGCUUGUUACAUUAUUCUCUGUUGGACGUAUGUGGAGUUUAGUUGCUCUCUGUGUUUGUGUUUGUUUUUGUUUUUGUUUUAAUCUUCAGGUAUCGAGUGGUACGUGGGAAGAUUCUCUUGCUAGCGGUUCUGAUAGCUGCUGAUAAAUUAGGAAAAUGCUGCUCAAUGCAGUUCCAUUUGCAGGCUGAACGGUUUUGGUGAUAAGAGGCUUGUCACUCUUCUUGUUUAUUUCAAAUCGUUUAGCUGUUACAACUUGCUGAAUUGGAGUUGCUUCUGUGAUCAAAUUUAAUUUGGGUUUUGCUCUGUGACUACAGUGAAAUGAUUUCUAUCCAUGUGAGGUAGAAUUUGAUUAUGGUAUAUUUCUUUAUGCUGUUUGUAUUUUUUGGAAUCUAAUUAAUUUAGUGAAUGAUUUAAAAUUAAAGGUUUUCUGCCUCAAUACUGUUUUUCAGGGAGUUGGAUUUCCAUCAAAUUCUGUUGGGAUAUAUGCCAUCUGUUGAUUUAUUAUUGGGCUUAUUGGUAUUAGUUCUGUAUUUGGAAUAGUGUUCACAGUGUUCAUGUUGCAUUAAUUUAUAAUUUUUUUGUGGUAUGGUAAAAUAGGUUGCAGGUGGAAUGUUGUGGCAUAUUGGUGUUUUUAGGUGGAGAAAUUGUAGUUAGACAUGCACCUUGAGGAAUCUGUUGGAUCGUUUUAAUCAUAUUUGCUAUUUAUUGAAGGUUUGCAUUAUUGGAUUUGAGGGAUGUAUUUAUGUUUUGGGUUUUACUUUCUUGAAUUCUUUAAUGUCUUCCACUAAAGUGACUUCAAAUGAUUUCUAGUGGUUUCCACUUUAGUAUUGAUUUCAGUAACACUUGCAUCUAAUAGACCCUUUCUUGAUUCAAUGAUUAUGUUCAAAUGACAUUAUUUAAUAUGUGGUGAAACCUUGUUCUUGUGCUUAAAUAGGUUGCUAUAGCUACAAAUUUGACAAAUGGACUUGUAUGCACUUCAACAUAGUUAGUUCUCGCUUUUUGAGAUAGAAGAUAAUGACAUCUAGUUACUAAGGUGUGUAGGAUUUCUAGAUUCAUGGUUUAUUCCUCUUCUUGGUUUCCUUGAAGGAUCUAGGUGCAUCUCUUUUGAUAUCUUUGAUUUUUGAAGUGUUUAGUAAUACAAAUGUCUGUUAUUGCUUUAUAAUACAUCACUGAAAGCAAGUUGAUAUCUAAUUUCUAAUUAUUUGUGAUGGUUUGACAGCAAUUGCAACUAGUUUUUGAUUGGGAGUUACCUAUCAAUUUCACUUCUCUGAUCUAUGGCUGUGAUUAGAUCUGUGGCUGUGAUGAAAUGCUUUUAACUGAUGUAUGGUAAUUUACGCCCUCUGGUUUAGGUUAUUUCUUUUUGCUAGAAUUUUAACUGUUGAUUCGUGGCUAUUCCAAGGCGGUUGUGACAUAUGGUUUUCUUGCUUCAAAAAUUUAUUAUCUGAGCACGUUCUGUAUUGCAGUGUUAUCUGUUCCCAAUUGCAAUAUUUCUCUGCCACGGAAGUCCAACGUUGGAUGAAUGUUUGUUGAGAUUGAAAUAGAGUACAUUGUACAAAGAUCUCGUUAUCAGUUCCAUAUUUGGAAUGGAAUGGUAUUCAUGGUAGCUGUGCUCGUAGCUAUGGACUAAAUAAUUUUUUGUGACUAUUCUGUUAUCUAUGAUAAUGAUGCUGAUGACCAUUGAUUCUGAUGAUUCAUCUUUUCAGAUCUGCUCUCCUCUGAUUGAUCUCAUUGGAUAAUUCAUACUUUUCUCCUUGAAUUUCUUGUAAUUAUACUAUUGUUUCAAGCGUCCUCACUGGUUAUAUUGAGAUUCAGUCUCAGAUCUGUCCUGCCUUUGAUCAAUGAUGAUGCUCACAGGAUAAGUUGUAUUUUUCUGCUUUCAUGUUUUUUGUUAGUACACUAUUUUUCUGCUCCUAUCUACACACACACUAAAAUAUUAAUUUUCUAAUUUCAUGUGAUUACUUUAUUUAUCUAUGAGAACAAUGUUGAUGACGUUUGAAUCGAUUGGUUGUCUCCUGAUCUGACUUGCCUCUGACUUCGGAUUUUGUCAAUUGGUCGUCUCCCAAUCUGAUAUGCCUCUAGUCAACAAUGAUGCUUUUCCUUCUAUACGUUCUAUUGAAGCGUGUUCAAAUUUUCUCUAUUGAUGUGUGUCUAUUCCAUGAAGGUGUAUUGACUUAUUUUUAUGUAUUUUAGGUUGGCUCUUUGGUGUCUGAUGAACUUGGUGGGUGCUCAUAAAGGAGGAUUUGAUUUAAUUACUAUGAUUUUUUAGUCGCUUCAAAAAGUUCUUAUCUGAAUGCUUACGUAUAGCAUCUGUUUCCAGUUGUAAUGUUCUAAGUUGGAUUUUCUGCCUGAUCUCCUCCAGAAAUGAUGUAAAAUCCAAUGUUCGAUGAAAGUUGUCAAGAUCGACACUGAAGAGGUUGUAGAAAGAUCUCAGUAUCAGUUAUCUUUUUGGGAUGGUAUUCAUGCGUCUAUCUAUGCUAUAUCUAAAUUUCUAAUUUCUUGUGAUUGUGAUGAUUGAUUGUCUCAAUUCUGGCAAACCUCUAAUUGCUUUUCAUUGGAUAAUUCAUAUUUCUGCUUUCUUGAAUUUUUUUGUUACUCCACUAUUAUAUUUCGAGCAUUCUUACCAGUUGCAUUGUGAUUCUAGAAUUUUCUCUGUUGCUACAAUGCUAUUUCAAAUUCUUAUGGCAUAUGUUUAUGGAUUUUAGGCUGCUUUUUGGUAUCUGAUGAAUUUGGUGGAUGCUCAUAAAGAAGGGCUUGAAUUAAAUUUUUGCCAUGAUUUUUUUGUUCCAUCAAAAAAUUUUCUUAUCUGAAAGCUUUAUAGCAGUGACAUCUGUUUUCAGUUGCAAUGUUGUAAGUUUUUCUGCCUUUAUCUAGGGAGGGAGAUAUGUGGUAAUGUCCAGUGGAGGAUGAAUGUUUGCUGAUUAAGGCAAAAAUGGGUUGUACAAAAGUGUCUCUAUUUUGAUUGGUGUUCAUGAUAUAUGUGGUUCUAUCUUAUGCACUAAAAUUCAAAUUUCUCGCAAUUAUUCCAUUAUCUUUUAGAAUGAUGCUGAUGACUCUGUGUUGAGGUGUUUCGUUGACUCAGAUAUGAUCUGCUUCUGCCCUGCCUCUAGUUGAUAAAUGAUGCUUUUCAUUGGAUAAAUCUUAUUUUCUGCUUUCUUUAUUUUUUGUUUGUUAGCACACUAUUAUGUCAAGUGUCCCUAUCAGUUGCAUUGUGCUUUUGGUAAUGUUUGUUUUGCCUUGAACAAUUAUGGGAUGAGGAUAUGUGGACAAUUCCAGUUUUGGUUGAAUUUGAAAAAUUUCUUGCUUGGACUGCAGUUUCUAAAGUGUGAAGGGCAUUUGACUUUCGGUUAUUGCACUUAUGGGUUUCUUUUUAGGAGCUGUGCAAAUAUUCUGUCAUCUUUGUUUAAGUUGUAAUAUCUGUUUCAUCGGCUAUCAUUGAAAGCGAGGUAGACAAAGUUGGUGGAUGCUCAUAAAGGUUGCUUUGAUUAUUCAACCCUGACAUUUUCAUUUGUUUGAAAUUCUUAUAUGUACACACACAUGACUUACCAAGAUGUUUAUAUUAGGUGCAAUGUGGUUUGAAGUGGUCCAAUACAGGAUGAACAAUCACCUUGACAUGCUCAGUUGCAUGUUGUUCAAUUACUUAUGAGGAUAUUGGAAUCAGUUCUAUAUUUAGAAUGGUGUUCGUGGUAUUUGCCCUAAUACAUAGUGUAACAUUCUGAUUGCUUGUUACACUAUUCUAUAGGUUGCACUAUUGUCCCAUAAAGUGAUGUUUGUUGAAGUUUAUUAUCUUUAUAAGUGGAGUGUAUAUUUGUGGAAGAUUCUGAUUGCUUGUUAUGCUGUUCUAUAGGGUUGCAGUUGCACUAUUGUCCCAGAAAGUGAUGUCUGGGAGUUUUAUUGUCUUUAUAAAUGGAGAUAGAUGCUCUUUUAUAUCAUAUGCUACUGAUUGAAGGUUCACAGCACAUAACUUACAGAUGGAGUACUUCUUGUAGGUUUCCAGUGCAGUGAUUUAUUGCCUUUCGUGAUGUGCUUUUAUUCUGAUAAGUCAAUCCAAUUGUUUACUUAUUCAAUUUCAAUGAGUGAAUUUUCAACAUUUCUUUUUUCUUUCUGGUAAUAUGCACAGCAAACAUUAUUCGUACUAAAUUGUGUUUGCGAAAGCAAUUUCCAUGGGGGUUGAAAUGUCUUUUUGGUAAAAAAUUAUUCUCUUACAUCAUAUUUGCUAUUGAUGAAAGGUUCAUUACAAUCUUUUCGGUAAAAAUUCUUCUUACAUCAUAUUUGCUAUUAAUGAAGCAAUCAUUGCAUACAUAUGUUUUUGAGAAACUUCUUGAUAUCCUUUUCUUGCUUAUAGUCCUUUUUACCUUUUCUGUGUUGCUGAUUAAUUGUCAGCUAUUGGAAAUAAAAAACUAGUAGUCGGUUAGCUGAUGGUUUAGAUGGUUUCUGCAGGAUAUUUUAAAAUCUUGUUUUGGUGCUUGGACUGCAGUUCUCUAAUAUGGAGGAUAUUUGGUUUAGUGGUUUGUUGCUCUUCCUGGUUUCUUUUUACAAACCGUGUGAAUCGCUUAUCAUUAUUUAAUGUCUAGUAUUAUGAAGGUUUGUUGUCUUACCAUUAUUCUAAGCAAUGCCUCGAGUCAAUGCAGUAACUUGGUUUGCAGUUCUUCCAUGCCAUGGUUUGUUGCUCUUCCUGGUUUCUUUUUACAAACCGUGUGAAUCUCUUAUCAUUAUUUAAUGUCUAGUAUUAUGAAGGUUUGUUGUCUUACCAUUAUUCUAAGCAAUGCCUCUGAGUCAAUGCAGUAACUUGGUUUGCAGUUCUUCCAUGCCUUGGGUCAAUAAUGAUUGCUUUUGUUGGAUAGGUGGUGUAUUUUUUAUUCCUUCAAAAUUUUUUAUUAUAAGCGGUGACGUCCCUAACAGUUGCAUUGCACCACGAGUUGGAGUCCAUUUUCUAAGACGAACACUCCAAGUUGGUUAACCUUAAAGGUAUUUAAACAUCAAUUUCUAAGAUUACAAAUUUCAAGGCUUGUUUGUCAAAACGUUUGUUGUGGCUGUCGAAGAGCUUUUGCGAUCACCAGGGCUGAGAGCUUGUGCUGCUCGUGUCCAUGGAGUGGUGAUGUUUGAGGUUUCUCUGUUUUCCUUAUCGUAUGCGUGACAAUUUUUUUAGAUAUCUAUUAAAUUUUUGGUUUUACGUGUUAUCCUGUAAAAUUUGUUCAUUAUUUUAUGUGCUUAUGUAAGAAUAUAAUGCUUAUGAUAAAUAUAUAGGCUUGCUUCUAUCCUCCAUUAGGUGUCUAAUGCUCUUUCUUCUGACCUUAUACAUAGUUGUAAUAUUUUAUUUUUUAAGGAUUAUAUUCUAUACUUUCUUUGCUCACUCUGGAAAAGUCACUCGGCGACCCGAGUGCGUUUGUACUCUGUUUUUAAGCUUUUGGUGCCUUUUAUUCUUUCCUAGAAUCUACAAAUUUUCUAGGCAUGUAUCAACUAAGCUUAUAAUUUUGUAGAUAAAAAUUGUCGGCAUUGUAUGGUGAUAUUGUGGUGAUUAAUAAAUGUUUUAUUGUAAAAUUCAUUAACUUAGGUGUGUACAGUCUCAUAUUAAAAAUAUCCAAUACGAAAUGUGUGUAGAAAACACGUCCAAAUCGCUUUGUCGUCUGGCUGUUGGCCGUCUAUUGUUUACUGUUUCCGUUGUGGUAUAUUAUCGUUCUUUUUAAGGUAAUAAUAUCUCAGAUCUUUAUAAUUGCUUCAUCUGUAAAUUUCUUCCGCAUGGAUUGAAUUUUGGCCUCUUAGUAAAUUUCUUCUGCAUGGAUUAUGGAAUGUAUAUCAUACUAUGAAGAUAUUUAUUUUAUUUAUUUAUUUGUUAUCUAUUUUCUUCAAAAAUAUGCAGCGCUUUGAACAAAAUUGAAUCAGAUGAAACAAAAAUUUAUCCAAUUCACUUAUUUUUUAAUUUGAGUUUUAAUCUUUGAAGUUUGUAUUAUUUUAAACUGCCAACCUCAGUUAUAAUCGAUGAUAUAUGUUGGAUAGAAGUUUUUGAUUUGGCAUUUUGUUUAAGGUCAUUUUACGACAUUUGGGCAAGAAAGGAGUUUGAUUGUAAUGAUCUUAAACAUUUUUUGUUGUUGCAUUUUUUACCGCUUUUAAAACAAAAAUUAUUCUAAUUGGACAAAAUGAAAAAACAAAACUAGAGAUUGAUGAGGUUAUCCUGUUAAAUUUUCCAUAUUUGAUCGGCAGUUCUUCCAUGCCAUGGAAAUCACACUUCACCUUUAAUAAUUAGCUAUCCACCAAUUAAUUAAUCAACUGAUCUGUCUUAGUUUCCUGUCUCCGUUGGGUUUGAACCUGAUGACGUGCUGGCGGUUAAUUGUUUUAACGGUGAAUUGAGGCUUCAAUGUUCUGUAUUUAACAAGCAUCAAAUUUAACAAAAUGGAAGUAUAAGUAUGGUUGCAUACAUACUGUUAUGUAUUACAGUAGGACAAAUGAAAUCAUGUACAUGCUGUGUAGGUGAUAGUUCAUAUUCCUGGUGCACUAUGGGUGGUAAAACCACGGUGAAUUUUUUUUUUUUUUUUUUUGGGUGGUAAUUUUCCAUUGUUUUCCACACAUAUCGCUGUUUAAUUUCAUUUAUUUUUUGUUUGUUUUAAAUUUACUUGGUAUUAUAUUUCGUGUGUGUGUAUAUAUAUAUGCAUAUAUUAUAUUGGUAUCGAAUUUCAUGUUCAUAUUGCUAAAAUAUUAUAGGUGGUAAAAUUUGGGGAUUUACCUUUCGUAAUUUUCUCUCUGUUUUCAAACACAAAAGAGGAAUAUACAACCGUGUGAUUUCAUUUCUUUUUGUUCUUUAUAAAUUUACUUGGUAGGGAUUUUUAAUUUUUUAUUAUUAUUAUAUAUAUAUAUAUUUUUUUUUUUUUUUUUAUUAUCGACAUUUAGAAUUUUUUUUUAUUUUUUAUUUUUUGGGAACAUAUCAACAUUUUGAAUUUGAUGUUUGUAAAAUUGUUCGCUGCUUUUUGCAAAAUCAACAUAAUUUUUCCCAUUUUCGUAUAUUCGUAAUUGAUAGUUUCAUAUGCUUAAAUUAUUCUUAAAUUUUAAAAAAUUGGAUACAAGAUAGUUUAUAUCACAAGAAAAAUGGUAUUCAAAAUGACACUAGUUUUAAUAUUAAAGGGCUAUAUUUUAAAAAUUUGCUACGCAAAAUUUUGUCUCUGAAAAUUACGAAGUUUUCACUGGACUUCCUCCUCUCUUUUUAUCAUAUAUCUGACGCAGUAAUCUAAUGAAGUAUAGAUCUACAUUGGGUGAGAACCAUGUAAAUUGCUUGCAAAAAGUCAUUUCCGAGCCUGUGUACGUUCAUCUAUAAUUCUCAGUGGCCUGAAUUCGAUUUCAUUGUCUUGGUAUUUGAUUUCUGGGGUGUGCAAGAAAAGAUAGUUUGAUAUAUUUUUUGUCAAAUUUGGACAUUUAUUUGUUUAUUUAUUUAUUUUUUAAUAUAUAGCAUUACAUCAUCCCAAAAAAAAAAAUAAAAAAAAAUGAAUAUAUAUAUAUGUUUACAUGAUAUUUUAUUGCCUUUUUCUCGAUUUACGGUUCUUGAUCUCGAAAUUUUAUGUUAACAGUAUAGUUCAACAAACAAAAGGGAAAAUAAACAGCCUAAGGAUGGGUACCCCCCAACCUCAAAAGAGAAAGGAAAGAAAAGAGAAUAGAUUAAUACAAAACCAGUGUGAGAAACUAAAAUAAUCUUCAAUGAUUGGGCACAAACUAUGUGCUAAUGGAAAUAUUUUUUGCUGGGUAUGCACAACUUAAUUUUCUUGAGAUGCCAUUUAAGCUUUACACUUUGAUGGUUGUUCUUUGUUUUUCACCCUAGAGUUUGAAGGCUAAUUUAAUGGGUUGUAAGUUUCUCUAAUUCUUGAACAUAAGCAUGAACCAACUUCAACACAGAAGUCUGAAGAUCCCACGAACCAAGUUUCAUAAUUAGUGUAAACCUCUUCUUCUCUUGGUAUAUAGCUGAGUGUAGUUGUUGUUACGUCUAUCUACUUCACAUCUUUCUUUGAAACACCAUGAUUCCUCAUGUUCUAUUAACCAUGUCAUCCUUUCCAUUUUUGUUUAUCUGUUUUUAGUCUUAUUUUUUUGUUUGCUUCAGUUAACCUCAUCCUACACUUCUAUGCUGGGAGUUCAGAUGAAUGUUUGAACUCAAGUUUAACUACACAGUUCUACACUUAAAACUAUCUGUGAGUUAAUCGUGAAGUAGUUUCUGUAAAUGUUAGCGUAAUUAUUAGUUGUGAAUUUACGUUAAAAGCCUUCAUCCAUUUAUUUGUUAUUGCAUUACGUUAAAAUUAUAUGCCUUCCAAAUACUAAAUGUAUUUUCUUGUUAUUUUAUUUGAUAAGAGUUUUAGACAAUCUGAAACAUUUUAGCAGCUAUAAAAGUCCUGAUGCUAUUAGACAAGUGCAAGAGUAUCUUUAAUUAAUGAAGAAGAAGCUCUAUUUCCUAUUUGUUCAGGUUAACUUUUAUGUAAUUGCUCAUACUAGAUUUCCAGCCUUUAGUAAAAACUACUCCAUUUUGUGUAAGAACUUCUAAAGAAGUUGCAUAAAACUAGAGAGCCAUUUUGGUAGGAAUGAAGAUGGAUUCAUUUAACUUCUGUAAGCCAUGAUGCCAAUUUGAGCAUGAUGCAUAUAUAGGUUGUUUUCCUAAAUAUAAUUGGUUCUAAAUUAUGUAAUUUGCUGAGUUGCUUAAAUUUAGAAACAUUUUUAUUUCUAAGUGUGGAAUUAGGAUGGGGAAUUAAUCAUUUGCAUGCAUACAUGCAUGAUACAUGUGUUCAUGUGUGCUUAGUUGAGAUUUACAUAUGCUCUAUAACUGCAAGACAUAUGGCUGUGCAUUUUUCAGUUUUAAGAAUGGAAAUUGUAGGAGAUAAAACUAUAAAUCAACUCUUUUUUAUUUUCAGUUUUAAGAAUGGAAAUUGUAGGAGAUAAAACUAUAAAUCAACUCUUUUCUAUGUGGCUAAAAAGGGGCAUAUAUACUUCAUUUAUGUAUUUAUAUGAAAGUAGUCCUCUUCUCAAGACAUGUUAUAGUCCCAAAAUGUUGCAACUGUUUCAUCCUCGUAAAUUGAUUUUUUAUUUGUAUGCUUCUUUGGAUUGCAUAAUUUCAUCUGCAAUUUAGAGUAUGUAUGAUUCUCAUCUUUCUAUUAUCGUUAUUAUUUUUACUAACUUGUCUGGCUUUUUUGGUUUUAAGAUCUUCAAAGUUCUUAUACAAAAUACCUUAUGAAUUUUACUGAAAUAGAUGGAGUUUACCUAUUUUCGUGAACUGCUUAAUUGGAGUAGCCUCACCAUUGAUUUUUUUGGAGAAUAGUUUUUGUGUUAGUCCUUUCAUUCUGCAAGAAAUUUGAGUUGCUGUUAAAGUAAGGCUUGUUUCUGUCUUGCACCUAAAUGUCACCUAAACUGCAAGUCAGAAUCCCUAUCGAUUGGCUGAGUUUAAGGUAUUGUGCUCCCUAUCCCUCUCUCCUUACGACAGUCUUUUUCUCCGCAAAAGUUCCACUUCAAAUUUACCGCAAGUUUCAUUUAUCAUAUAUAUUAUAAAACGCAAUAAUAAGAAAAAUAAAUGAAACAUGGUCAAGAAGUUAUUUUGUUUACAUUACAUCCCAUCAAUUUUUCUCUUAAGUUUAUAUUUUGUUUAUAUAGUUUAACUAUUUGUAUGUUAGGUAGGUGUAAAUUUUGUCACAUAAAAAAUUUAAGGGCGAAAUCGAAGUACUUUUGUAAUUUACUUUAUGGUGUAUCAUAUUAACAUUCUCAAAUCCAGAAGAAGAGCAAGAAAUAUUAAAUGCUAUGAUUAACAUCUUGCCGUUAUGAGUUUACGACUUGUUUCUUUGAAGGUAAGUAUUUUGUGUAAUUUGUAUUGGCAGAAUUAUCAGCAUAUUGUUGAAUGUUGUGGACUUAGGAGACAUGCCAAAACAUAGCUUACCGCGGAUGCAGAGUAGCGGUCGGUUCUGAUAUUACUGGAUUGAAGAUGCCCAGAAUGGACUGUUUAAAGAAUAUGGAAGCAUUGAUCUUGUUGGUACUUAGUCAUGGCUUUCCAGGAAACUGAGGGUGAAAAUUGCGAAGGAAACUUCCCAUGCGGAUGGCCUUCCUAAAUGGUGGAAUAGAAUCAAUACUGUCAAUUAGUUUUCCCCUUGUCCUUCAGUGUAGUAAUUGGACAUUCUUUUUUGGCCAUAAUUACCUGUGAAAUUACUUAGUAAGGUUGGAAAGAAGAAAGAAAUAGAGGGGGGGAAAAUAUAUAUGUUGGAGAAUGGUGGCAUAGUAGCAUGGUUUUGGAGGAUCUGUAUAUAUUGAAAAUGCUUUGAAGGAAUGCUGAGAGAAAGCAAUAACGUCGCAAACGAGCAAGGACAACUGAGUUCUGAAACUUGUGGAUUGCUGCGUGGAGUUGCCUAUUCAGCCUUGGUUUUUAAAGAUGCAUAAAAUGGAUGUCUAUGGAGGCAUUGGUCCUAAUGAUGGCAAUGGAUUGUCAUUUCCAUGGCAGACGAGGCUGAGAAUUGUGAAGGACAUUGCCCAUGCACUUAACUAGCUCCAUUCUGCAUUUUCCAGGCCUGUCAUUUGUCAGCAUGUCAUUUGUGCAAUUUCUCUCUCUCCAGAACGAUUCCUGAAGGUGAGAUGUGUUACGGAGAGAAGUGACGUAUAUAGCUCUGGAGUAUGUCUACUAGUCCUUCUAAUGGGGAAGACCCCUACAUUUUGUAAGUUCGUGUUUCAUAGAGUUCCGUUAAAAAGAAGUGGAAUGAAAUGGUGGAUCCUAAAAUAUUGAAAAAGAAAAGGAGUGAUUAAUAAAGAGCAGCAGAAAUUGCAAGCUUUUCUGAAUCUCGCAUUGAAAAUGCAUUCAAAAGAAGUCUAAAGAUAGACCAAUGAUGAUGUGGCCAAAAAAAAAAUCAUCCGGAUUCAUGGUUCCACCACUACUCCCUACCCCAUCUUCAUAUAUAUGUUAUUUAUAUGGGUUGCGUUAUGAUUCCUGUCCUAAUGCAUAAAACUCAUUUAUAUACUGUUCUGUUUAAACAAACUAUAUAUGCAUAUAGCCUUCUA